rnacentral:rRNA from 1 species
ACAACUCUGAGCGGUGGAUCACUCGGCUCGUGUGUCGAUGAAGAGUGCAGCCAACUGUGUGAAUUAAUGUGACCUGCGGAAUGCGUUGAACAUCGACAUUUCGGUAGUCGGUUCCAUAUAAUUGGCAAUGUAACUGAUGCGGC